UCCCUGUGAUUCAGAUGGUAAAGAAUCCGCCUGCAAUGCGGGAGACCUGGGUUCGAUCCCUGGAUUGGGAA
rfam:Ovis aries breed Texel chromosome 18, whole genome shotgun sequence.